GCUAAACGUCAACGCUACACUUUAAAUUACCAGGAAGCUGACUCCAGUGGGCUUGGUUAUGCGUCGCUAGUGUCACAUGUGACUUUGAAUAACGAUCGAUUUGGUUUCAGUAGGUCCGAUUUAUUAGCGAUACAGUUAAAGCCCCCUAAAGGAGGAUGUCGGCGACGGUGAUCGUGCAGAAAAUAGCCGGAGUGUCGGGGUCACUUGCCGUGUGUUUGGGAGCGUAUGGAGCGCAUGGAUUCAGGCGCAGUGAUAGAGAUGAGUAUUUGAAAGAGGUAAAUAUGGUGCAUCGCAUUUUAAAUAAUUGUAUUUGUGAAUUCUGGCCACUCAGGUUUGAUAAAUAUCGUGGCAACGGUAAAUUGCGUAAAGAG